AAUUUAUUAGUUAAAAAAUAACAUUAUAUUUUCAAUAUAAAAUUAAUUAUAUUAA
rnacentral:tRNA from 1 species